CUCAGAUUGAACGCUGGCGGCAGGCCUAACACAUGCAAGUCGAGCGGAUGAAGGGAGCUUGCUCCUNNNUUCAGCGGCGGACGGGUGAGUAAUGCCUAGGAAUCUGCCUGGUAGUGGGGGACAACGUUUCGAAAGGAACGCUAAUACCGCAUACGUCCUACGGGAGAAAGCAGGGGACCUUCGGGCCUUGCGCUAUCAGAUGAGCCUAGGUCGGAUUAGCUAGUUGGUGAGGUAAUGGCUCACCAAGGCGACGAUCCGUAACUGGNCUGAGAGGAUGAUCAGUCACACUGGANNNGAGACACGGUCCAGACUNCUACGGGAGGCAGCAGUGGGGAAUAUUGGACAAUGGGCGAANGNCUGAUCCAGCCAUGCCGCGUGUGUGAAGAAGGUCUUCGGAUUGUAAAGCACUUUAAGUUGGGAGGAAGGGUUGUAGAUUAAUACUCUGCAAUUUUGACGUUACCGACAGAAUAAGCACCGGCUAACUCUGUG
rnacentral:rRNA from 1 species